rnacentral:rRNA from 1 species
GACGAACGCUGGCGGCGUGCCUAAUACAUGCAAGUAGGACGCCGUUGCGAACGGGUGAGUACCGCGUAGGUAACUACCUAUUAGAGGGGGAUAACUCUUGAACACGAUAGCUAAUACCGCAUACUAGUAGAUGGACGUGCGUUGUAUUAGCUAGUAGUUAGGGUAAUGGCCUACCUAGGAAACGAUACAUAGCAGACCUGCGAGGGUGAUCGGCCACACUGGGACUGAGACACGGCCCAGACUCCUACGGGAGGCAGCAGUAGGGAAUCUUCUGCAAUGGGGGGAACCCUGACCGAGCAACGCCGCGUGAGUGAAGAAGGUUUUCGGAUCGUAAAGCUCUGUUGUUAAGGAAGCGGUACUUAACCAGAAAGGGACGGCUAACUACGUGCCAGCAGCCGCGGUAAUUC